GCUGGGAGCGGCCCGGGAGGGGCAACGGCAGCGGGCGCUGCCUGGCAGUGCGCGGGCGGGAAGCGGGGCGUGAGGGAGCCCGGCGGCCCCGGCUCCUUCCCUUUACCCCUUACCCCACUAAUGCCGGGGCCCGCUGUGGAGGUCCCAUGCCCGUGAGGGCUGUGCCCCGGGAGUGUAGUGCUGUCCCGCGUCCCCUGCUGUGGAGGGAGCCCAGUUGCUGGAGUCCUGGGCACGCUGAGCAGUAACCAGGGGGCUCGGUAGCCUCUAGCCCAGUCCUCCUUUCGUUCAGGACCGCUGCCGUUUGAACGAUGCCUCCUAGCAGUAGGCCCACCUCACCAGAGCUCUCCUUAAGGCAGGAUGCAAGUGCAAAGGGCAGGCUGAGAGGUCAGCAGCUCCAGAGACCUCGAGGACGCAGGAGGCAGCUCCCCUUAAAGCUCCUAAACUUUAUGUACAAAGCAAUCGCUGUCCGUGAGAGGGGCUUUGAGCCGGCCGCUGCAGAGAAACGGGCAGCUGUAGGAAACAAACUCAGGCAUGGCAGAUGCUGGGGUGAAAGCUGACUUAGCUACCUUCAAAACAGCAGUCUUUGUCUUCCAGAAGUCACCUUUUUAAGCUACAGUUGUGUGGAAAAAGGACAUAAGGAAAGCAACGCUUACCUCCUAAGCUUGACCAAAAAGAAAAAAGGUGGCAUGUGAGGGAAAGAGAGUUAGCAUUUAUUUGACCAGGCUGUGGAGUGAUUUUUUUUAUCAGUACUGAAGGUUUUUUAUCUUGUUCUUCAUAGGAGAAAUCCAUGUAUGCCUAUCAAUCUCUUGAUAAAUAAGCCGUGUUGGUCUCAGAUUUCUUAAAGAAUGAUGAUUUUGUGGUAGCAGCCUACCUUGUUUUUCAUGGGCUUUUCCACGUCACAACAGCUUCUAUUUUGAAAAUAUUUGAGAUACGAUUGUAAUUUCAUUUAAAAAAAUGUGUUUUUCCAUUUCCAAUGUAGGAACCCUGUCCUUAUAAGGCAUCACUUAAAGCAAAGCUGGUGAAACUGCUACCACUCAAUACCUGUGCUAUUCUAGGCCUACAGGAUGUCAGCUGUUUCAGUGGCCUUGGUGAAAUUUUGGCCUAGAUUUUUAGGAUUUCUGGUACUCAUUUGUUUUACCUAUAUGGAUUUUCUACUGUAAUUUUAGGUGCUUCUCUAUUACCUUGUUUAGUUUCUUAAAAUGAUGAAGGCGGCUUUGGACGUUGAUAUCACCAGUGACAUCUUGCUCAUCCAGUAGGGCAAGUUAGUAAAGAGUGAAAUGAAUGAUGCCUAAUGUUACUUAGGUUUUUUCUUUGUACCUCUUACAGCGUUUCCCUCCUACCCCCAAUUAAAUAUUUUAUCUCUUAA